CUUAGUUUUUUAUUUGUUGUCAGUAAUUUAAGACAUCUUAAAACACAAAAAAAAAUAAUUCAGAUACAUUUGGGAAAGUUUGGGAUAGAUCUCUCACAUCUUUUCCCUUUGAGAUUACUCCAUCAAUUACUUCUGUUGGAUUUGCUAAACUAGUUUCUCCAGUUGUGUCUGGUCAUUAAAAUGGAAAAGUGUUCCAAUUGUAAAGGUGAUUUUGAUAUGAAUCAGAUAUUUUCCUGUGAUAGCUGUAAAAAUCUAUUAUGUAUGGAAUGUGGUGAUCUAACGGCAUCAGAGAUUUAUUUAUUUAAGAAACAAACAGGCAAAGCCUAAUUACAUGUUUCUAUACAUUAUUACAACGAUUAUAUUGAAAUCAAAUAACAAAAAAAAAAAGAAAAAACAUAAAGAACUUAAAUAUUAUAAAUAUUGUAAGGUGUAAACGUAUACGUAUAAAAACAAAACAAAAAAAAAACGUUUAAUAAUAAAAAAAAAA
rnacentral:lncRNA from 1 species